UGAGGGGUGUUAUUUUUGAAAAAGUAUACAUGCAAUUAAAUGUGAUUCAUUGAGAUUAACUAAUCACAGAUCUUGUAAUCAAUUUGAUUUUUUUUUUUUUAAUCACCUGACAGCACUAAUUAAAAUAUGUAUGCUAGCUGUAUGUGUUUCAGACGGUUUUUCCCAGGGUCACUGCUGCAAAAUGUUAUGAGGCGGAAUGGGACGCCUUUGUCAUCAUGUGCCUAAAUUAUACACUGAUUGUAUUUCACUGCAAAUUUUGAACAGCAGUAAUUUUUGUAGUUUUUGCAGAAAUGUCUCCACUUUUGUGUAAAAUAAGUUUGAUUUGUAAAGGUUACCAAGAUUUACUGACAUAAAUUAAAUGCUAAUAGACUGAAAAGCUGUUUAAGCAUAAUCCAGUAGUAUGACUUAAAAAGAAGAUCUCCAUUUAAU